rnacentral:rRNA from 1 species
CUCGAAAUGGAGUGGACCGGAGUAGAAAUAUUCCUUCCCCGCAAGGGGCCGCUUUAUAGGUGCUGCAUGGCUGUCGUCAGCUCGUGUCGUGAGAUGAAAAAAAAAAGUCCCGCAACGAGCGCAACCCUUAUCCCCAGUUGCCAUCAUUAAGUUGGGCACUCUGGUGAAACCGCCUCGGAUAACGGGGAGGAAGGUGGGGAUGACGUCAAGUCCUCAUGGCCUUUAUGUCCAGGGCUACACACGUGCUACAAUGGCCGGUACAAACCGUCGCAAACCCGCGAGGGGGAGCUAAUCGGAAAAAGCCGGCCUCAGUUCGGAUCGCAGUCUGCAUGGGGGACUGCGUGAAGCUGGAAUCGCUAGUAAUCGCGGAUCAGAAUGCCGCGGUGAAUACGUUCCC